rnacentral:rRNA from 1 species
UACAGGGGGUGCAACCGUUGCUCGGAAUUAUUGGGCGUAAAGCGCGCGUAGGCGGCCACUUAAGUCGGAUGUGAAAGCCCCUGGCUCAACUGGGGAAGUGCACCCGAAACUGAGCGGCUUGAAUGCAAAAGAGGGUCGCGGAAUUCCCGGUGUAGAGGUGAAAUUCGUAGAUAUCGGGAGGAACACCGGUGGCGAAGGCGGCGACCUGGGUUGACAUUGACGCUGAGGCGCGAAAGCGUGGGGAGAAAACAGG